UGCCGAAGAGGCCGCAGGGAUGUGUCGGCUGUGCAAGGUGUGCGCUGGGGUGCAGGCAGGGCGUUCGUGGGUGGGGGCCAUCCAGAGCAGUUGUGGGGUGCCCGUGGAAUAGGUACAGGAUGCAUAUCCGGGGGUGAAGGCAUGGCACAUACAGAAGGUGCAUGAGAAGGGCUGUAUGGGAUGUGGAGGGGAUGCCUGAGGGGCUUAUAGGGGUGUGUGGGUGUGCACGGAGUGUGUACGUGCUGGCAAUGGGGUGCCCCCCCAGGAACACAGGGGGCUUUGCCUCCCCACCUCACCCCCAGGGCCUGGUGCACCAGCUUGGGGCGUCCAGACCUGGGGUGGUUUGAUAAACAGUUCACUGUUAAUUGUAUCAAGUGCUAAAGUAGUGCCGAAGAAGAACAGAUGAGAGAUGGGGACAAAAUGAAACCUUCUCCACAACAAGACCUUACUGCUGCUCCCUAAGGUGGAAUGAGAGACCCUGAAGAGAAGGAGCAAUAAAAGCCAGAAGCACUAAAGCUAAUAUAUACUGGCAUUAGCUUCAGUAAUUACUCUAUGCAGGUGCAUAUAUUUGCUGUGCUUGUAGCCAGCUUUGAUGCUGCUCCAACGCAAGCUGUUAGCAGGGAAAGGAAGGCAGCUGUGGCUGCACUAUAGUAUACCAGGAAGACCUUUGAGGACUCCUGGCAAGAACCAUGAAGAAUUGCCAGUAAGUGAAGGUGUGGACUACUUACAGAGACUUGGAGAGGAGGCUUGCAUGCAGUGGUAAGUAAGGCAGCAAUCAUCUGUGUCUGCAGGGAGCUAUCACCAUUCCCCGGUUCUCUGAAUGAGACACUGAAUUAUAGACGCUCAUCACCCAGGACGUCAGAGCAGGGAAUGACAUGCGGCUUAAACUCAGGUAUGCUGGACACUGGAGUUUUGCCCUAUCCAUUUAUUUUUCCAUAUGGAAGAGGGUGCAUAAGGGGAAAUUUACUGAUAAGAGCUUGGCAAAGCAUAUUCCAAGAGUUCCUUUCCUUUCCUUUCCACGACUCUUGAAAGUGCAGAUGUCAACUCCACAGAACACGCUCCGUAAAAAUGAAACCCCUGUAGCUUGUCUCUUUGUGCUGACAAAUCUAGAGGAGGCUACACGAUGGCUAAAACUGCAGCUACUGAACUAUUCCUUGUAAACUAAUCCUUGGAAGCAGAGAGGUGUUUCACAGCAGCUAUUCCUGAACAUAAAACAGAACAAUAAUUUAACGUUGAAUACACACAUUUCACAUAUCCUUUAUAUUUGGAGGCUGAUACAGUGGCAGACAUAACCUGAAAGCAGCCAUCCUGGCCAAGCUGGAGUGUUGUGCCGACCGCUUGUUUGGCUGUACGGUCAGCACGCUACCUGUGACUGAAACUGCUCAGCCCAACCAGCUGCACUCUUCUCAACUUGGCAUCAUAAAUUUCAAUUGUAAAUCUUCUUAACCUCUUGAAUUAUAUUAUAAAAUAACUUAAUUUGUAACCAUAUAGAAUACCAUGGAAGAAAAUCUUAAGCUGGCUUUCCCACGAUCGCAGUAAAACAGCAGGUGUGGAAGGACAGGCCUUCAGACACGGAGGUGGUGGUUCCUUUUGAGCUCUCUGUGUUAUCUCAGGGCUGUUUAUGGUACCCUUCACCUUCCUCAUUCAAACAUUGUCUUCUGGCUACAAAAACUGAAGCAUCACAGCUGGUUGUCCUUUGUCUGAUCCUUCAGCUCUGAGGGAGGUCUCUGCUUUUCAAACUAGACAAUAAAUCUGCCUGAAUUUAAAUAUAUAUAUAUAUAUAUUUUUCCCUUAGAAACAAGAGCAAAAUUUCAUGUGCCACACAAAAAUGACCUGUGUAGUUGACACUACAGUCCAAUUCAUUAUUUUAUUUUUUACCGAUUCCAAGCUAUCCCAAAGCACUCUUAACAAAGCCUGGGACAGAUAUGGGGCUGGAAUUGCAUCACAAAUACACUUUGAUUCCUCUCUCAUGACUGUCUCCCGUUGUCGAAUUGUGCUCAGAAACCAAAUUCAACAGAUUAAUUGCUUUUCUUGAAGCAGUUGGUAUGGAAAUUGGAUUUACAGGAUUAAAAAUCCAGUCCUGCAUUCAAAUAGAAAGUUACAGUUUUUAGCAAGUGGAACCGUGAGUGGUGAGGAAACAGUGUUUGGUGCUGGAAUCUAGCCAGGUAAUUCCAGAAGUUGGAUCAGACUUAAAAGGUCCCCAAAGUAGCGUGGAGAGGAAGGCACCUCUGUUACUGCUGAAGAGCACUGGUACGUACUGCAGUAUGAACUGCUCCAGUGUUCCAAGAACUGGUGUUAACAAAGGUGAUGUUCAUUGUGAUUUGCUCCUUGUUAUUAGGGGAAAUGGGUAGAAAUAACUCAAGCAGGUUUAGCCAGCAAAGACAAAUCUCUCUACCCAAUUACUUGGGAUCUUCCUUGCUGUGUAAUUCUCAGACUACGAAAUUUGAGUGGUCAAAAUGCUUCUACGACAUACAAAUUCUAGAAGUGUUUUUAAUUUGGUGAUUUAUUAAAGGCAACACUCCUUAAAUAAAGAGCUUGUAAGAAAUGUUACCAUUACUUGUUUUCUGUUGAACACCCCCCCCUCCCCCCACUUUUUAAGGCCCUGAAUAUUUGACCUUGCCAGCUGUUGCUUCCACAACAUUGCAAAUUAAUAAAUGACUACAUACUUACAUAUUGGAAAAUGUAUAGUUCAUUUAAAUUCUUAUAGCUCUGAUUGACACAUCUCAGUAAAAAUAAAAUAAUUUUAUUAAAGAAAAAUCUUUCCUCCUAUUUCUUCUUAGCUUCUCCUCCUCUAAGAGGACAUUAAAAAUCUGCUCAUAUCUCAUUGCCCUAAAAACUUUUUGCAGCAGUCAUCUCUUGCUUUGAUAAAACUAAUUUUUAAGGAUGAGUAGGACAAAAAUAAGAUGCUUUAACAUCCUCCCCAUUGAGACAAAAGUGAAUGAAAAUGUACGAAUAACAUGCUCAGGCAUCUUGACACCAUGGCUGUUUUAUGCAGAUUGUAACUGUCUUGGGCCAGGACAAAUAUCCUCCUUCAAAACAAGUAACUGUAAGAAGAAAACUGGCUUGAUUUGUGUAGUAACGAAUGAUUUGCAAUCUUUUGUCAGCCUUCUUGUGAGUUUUAAAGACUAGAAUUUAUCAUAGCUUCUCUUUAAUCUAUGCUAUAAUCAUAGCUUAAAUCUUGCUUUGCUUCUUCUCUGAAACUGCUUUUAAAUAUUUAAUUAAAAUAUGUUAGCUUUCAUACCAUCAACCUUAUUUUGAAUCUGAGCACAAGUAGUGUGGAGAGUACUAAGAUUUUCGGGCCAAGCCUUAAAAGCAUUCUAAAUCACUGAAGUCACUAUUUAGUCUAACUUUCCUUUUUCGAAGUUGGAGUGCCAGUUGGCUUUUUUUUUUUUUUUUUUUUUCUUUCUAGUAUGCAUUGUCUUCAUACCUUCUCAUUGCCCAGUUACCAGGAACUAAAAUAACCUCAGAACUUCUACACAGCACAAUGUAUGCAUGGUUGGCACACCAACUUUAAAACAUGUUCAUUCAAGUAGCUAACCAUGGAAAGAAAAACUUCAAACUGCUAGGAAGUGAUACCUGUAUCCUACAAAGAAACAUAAGGGAAAAGGCCAGCACCAGCUUCUAAGGAAAACAGAACAACCGCAAACGCUGCGGAAAAAGAGGUCUAAAUUCAGGUCCUUAUAGUGCUGUUCCAUUUCCAAAGAGGCCUUCCCUGAAAAACCAUGAGCCGUGAAAAAACACCAUUUCAGUGCUGUUGUGUGUGCAAGAGGAACAGAACAGUAGCAGUAACAUAACCUCUCUGUAUCUCAACUUCAAAUCUUUCCUGAUCCACAUUCUUGACAUCAAGAUCUGGAAAUACCUAUCAAGGAGAAUGAGGGACUGGAAUGAUUCUCUGCUCUGCUCCCAUUCCUGUGUAAGUCAAAUUGCAUGACUCAGCCCAGACUCUAUGGCCAGUAGAUAUUUGACACCUCAACAACUAUUCUGUGUAUUCUAGCGCUUUACUAACUGUUCUGGUUUGCCAGCUCUAAAUAAUGCCCAAUUCUUCUCUUUUAUAUUAACUGAAGCCUGUUACUGCUUCUGUUUCUUAGCACCAGUGUUUUGUGUUUAUGCACUGGUACUAUAUUCAAGAUAAAAGAAGCAACAAACAAUCAUCU